rnacentral:sRNA from 1 species
UGUUUGCACUUAGCGGGAAGGGUAAGAACCUUCGACUAAGGUUCGACUCGAGCGCCAGCGAGAGAACGUUG